CUGGUAACAUGAUGAUUGAACAAAUCACCAUCUUUCGGCUGAUAUGUGAUGUAAAUGUUCUUCCUGACUUAUCCAG